rnacentral:rRNA from 1 species
GAGUACCGUAAUGGUGAGAAUUUCGCGAACCUGUUAUGGGGUAACUGAGCAAAUUCCAGGAGCCCGUGAAAAGGGUGGAUGCAGUCCGUACCAAGAACUGACACAGGUGCCCCUCGCUGAGAAGGCGAAGGCGUGUCGGAAUUAAUCGUGUUAAGGGAACUCGGCAAGUUGGCCCUGUAACUUCGGGAUAAGGGGUGCCUGCCCAGAGAUUGGGCAGGUCGCAGUGACAAGGGCGCUCCGACUGUCUAUAACAACAUAGCAGACUGCAACUCCGAAAGGAUUAGUAUAGUCUGUGAUUCCUGCCCAGUGCGAGUAUCUGAACACCGGGUUCAACCGGACGAAGGACUCGUAAACGGCGGGGGUAACUAUGACCCUCUUAAGGUAGCGUAGUACCUUGUCGCUUAAUUGGCGACUUGCAUGAAUGGAAUAACGAGAGCGCUACUGUCCCUAACACGGAUCCGUUGAACCUUUUGUACUAGUGCAGAGACUAGUGACUCCUUAUGGGAAGUGAAGACCCCGUGGAGCUUUACUGCACCCUGUCGUUGGAUUACGGUAUUACCUGCGCAGGGUAGAUGGGAGGCGUCGAGCCGGUCCUUGUGGGGAUCGGGGAGCCAACGAUGAGACACCAUCCUGGUUUUAUUGUAAUUCUAACUGAGUUUCUCAGGACAUCGAUAGGUGGGCAGUUUGGGUGGGGCGCCACACCCUCGAAAAAAUAUCAAGGGUGCCCUAAGGUCAACUCAAGCGGGUCAGAAACCCGCUGGAGAGUGUCAAGAGCAUAAGUUGGCCUGACGCGAUUGAGCAUAACAAUCAAUCGCGAGAGGAAACUCGGGUCUAACGAACCAAUACGCCCUGCAGGUGAGGGCUAUUGACUACAGAAAAGCUACCCCGGGGAUAACAGAGUCGUCGCCGGCAAGAGCACAUAUCGACCCGGCGGCUUGCUACCUCGAUGUCGGUUCUUUCCAUCCUGGCUGUGCAGCAGCAGCCAAGGGUGAGGUUGUUCGCCUAUUAAAGGGGAUCGUGAGCUGGGUUUAGACCGUCGUGAGACAGGUCGGUUACUAUCUAUAAGGAGUGCAGGAAGUCUGAAGGGAAGAAUGAAAUAGUACGAGAGGAACUUUCAUUCGGCGCCUCUGGUCGAUCGGUUGUCUGACAAGGCACUGCCGAGCAGCUACGCGCCACGUGAUAAAAGCUGAAAGCAUCUAAGCUUGAAACAUACCCCAAAAAGAAACUUCAUUAAAGACACGGAUAGAAGAUCCGGUUGAUAGGAUCGGGAUGUACGCACGAAGGCAACGACGUGUUCAGUCCGCGAUUACUAAUUGUCCUAAU